rnacentral:lncRNA from 1 species
GGCAUUCAAGUGUUUACACCGCUUGCCCAGGUCACAAAGCCUGUAAGUGGAGGAGAUGGGAUUCAAUCCAGGGCUGCACUAUCUCAGUGACGCACGGCAGCAAAGAAGUCCGAGGCAAGGCAGAGGUUCCUAGAAAUUUCUGCUAUAUGAUUUAAAAGUGUUAAACACAAACCACAGUAGGUAAGGAGCCCAACAAGAAAACACGCUUCACUACGUGGCACCUGUGUCGGUAUGUCAUUUUCUGGAGAACAGCAAGAGGACACUGCCUUGUCAAUGUUCACAGCAAUAGAUAAUCCACCUUUCCUAGUUUUAAUAAACUAAGAUGGAAAUAAAGUCAUCUUACUUUUACUCUCCCACCAUUCAUCCACAAAAAGGAGUAAGCCAAAUCAAACUCCAAAUGUUCUCCAUCAAAGAAGAUGCCGAGACAAAGCUGAGGACAAGACACGGCCAUGUGAAGGUGCUGAUGGGAAGCAGGCCCCACACCAGACCCUCCACAAGUGCAUGGGAAAGCAGAGCUGAACAGAUAAAGCAGCUUGAGGCAGUGCAUCAAAUGUGAAGAGUAGAGACUAGAAUAAUGACCCCAGUUCCAACAAUUACCAACACAAGGCCAAUUUUCUUUCCUGUGUUGUGAAACCUGUGGAAUGCCCACAGAACGAUGUACCCCAGCAGACCCUGAGAAGAGGCCCAAAGCAACUGCUAAAGGGAUCAGCAUCUUGUGGGGAGUAAGGGCCACUUAAAACAUGUGUAAAACCAAGGAACGACAAUAAAACCCUGCAAGGUCAGCAGUGAUGAGUCACAGUGAUAUCAC